UAGAUUUAAUCUAAAAACUUAACUGUGUCUAUGUCUUUAUCUAGUUUUAAUUUUCACAUUUAUUAUAAGGUGUUAAAUGAUUGAAAUUGUCAAGCGAAAAAAUUGUUUGAAAUUGGGUUGGAUUUUGUUGACUGGACCAUUCAGAAUUCAUUGAUGAUUAUUUUCCAUUGAAGCUCACAAACAAAAACAAAUCAUAGAACUACCGAUUAAUGACGAUUUUACAUUCAUUAUUAUUAUAGCAUUGAGAAAAGUUGUUUUAUAAUAUCGAUUAGAAGUCAAUGAAUAAUUAUUUUUAUUCGCAUUCAACGUUGGAAGGGGAAUGAUUGGAGGCCUCGAUAUGGGCACUACAAAAUGGAGAUUAUCCACCUCAAUUAACAAAUUAAAUCCGCAACAAAUUAUGUACAUUUAUUUAUAGAAUACAUUUACAGUUGAUACUGUAAUUAUUUUGUUACAUUUAUUUUUUCAAAGUUACUUAAACUGUAAAAUAGGAAAAUAAUAUAAUUAUUAUUAAUUAUGCUUGUCUAAAAUUCUAUAUUUUUUCAUAAAUGUCUAAAAAAUACUCAAUUAACAGAGGAAAUCGAAAAUAAUGAUUUUUUAAUUUUGAAU